rnacentral:hammerhead_ribozyme from 1 species
AUCCAGCUGACGAGUUCCAAAUAGGACGAGAUGCGCGUACUGGGU